CCAAACGGGAUAGCUAAUGGAUAUCAGGUUAAUAUUCCUGUACUUCCUUACAGUGCAAGGUAGGGACGUGAACAUCAGGUGCUUACGUACUGACGGAAUAGUGCGUCGAGCCUAGCCUUUGGGCGAAGCAAAAGCAAGUAGUGUCCACCAAGAAAAGCUACCAAAGCUUCAGCUGUAAGGAACUCGUACCGCAAACCAACACAGGUAGUCGAGGAGAGUAUCCACAGGUGCUCGAGUGAUUCAUGGCUAAGGAACUAGGCAAAUUGACCCUGUAACUUCGGAAGAAAGGGUCCCCGACUACGGUCGGGGCGCAGAGAAAUGGCCCAGGCGACUGUUUAACAAAAACACAUGGCUUUGCUAAAUCGAAAGAUGACGUAUAAGGCCUGACACCUGCCCGGUGCUGGAAGGUUAAGGGGAGAGGUUAUCCCGACUCGUCGGGAGAAGCUUCAAACUGAAGCCCCAGUAAACGGCGGCCGUAACAAUAACGGUCCUAAGGUAGCGAAAUUCCUUGUCGGGUAAGUUCCGACCUGCACGAAUGGUGUAACGAUCUGGGCACUGUCUCAGCCAUGAGCUCGGUGAAAUUGUAGUAGCGGUGAAGAUGCCGCUUACCCGCAACGGGACGGGAAGACCCCGUGAACCUUUACUAUAGCUUAACAUUGACUCUGGAUAAAUGAUGUGUAGGAUAGGUGGGAGACUGUGAAGUCCCAACGCCAGUUGGGAUGGAGUCAACCUUGAAAUACCACCCUUCGUUUAUUCGGAGCCUAAUCCCCUCUAUCGCGGGAAACAGUGUUUGGUGGGUAGUUUGACUGGGGUGGUCGCCUCCAAAAACGUAACGGAGGCUCUCAAAGGUACCCUCAGCACGCUUGGUAACCGUGCGUCGAGUGCAAUGGCAUAAGGGUGCUUGACUGCGAGACUUACUAGUCGAACAGGUAGGAAACUAGGACAUAGUGAUCCGGUGGUCCCAUAUGGAAGGGCCAUCGCUCAAAGGAUAAAAGGUACUCCGGAUAACAGGCUGAUCACUCCCAAGAGCUCACAUCGACGGAGUGGUUUGGCACCUCGAUGUCGGCUCGUCAUAUCCUGGGGCUGGAGAAGGUCCCAAGGGUUCGGCUGUUCGCCGAUUAAAAUGGCACGCGAGCUGGGUUCAGAACGUCGUGAGACAGUUCGGUCCCUAUCUGUUGCGGGCGUGGGAAGUUUGAGGGGACCUGACCUUAGUACGAGAGGACCGGGUUGGACAAACCGCUGGUGUACCUGCUGUGGCGCCUAGCUGCACCGCAGGGUAGCUAUGUUUGGACGAGAGAAGUGCUGAAAGCAUCUAAGUACGAAACUCACCCCAAGAUGAGACUUCCAUUGAGGGCCCUUGUAGACUACAAGGUCGAUAGGCUGCAGGUGUAAAGAUGGUAACAUCCGUGCCAAGCAGUACUAAUCGCCC
rnacentral:rRNA from 1 species